rnacentral:lncRNA from 1 species
GAAUCUUCAACUCAGAUUUCUAUCUCUGUUAGGAUCUAAAAAAUGUGCAGCCAUUUGGACCUCAGUAUGAAGUGGUGUUAAAAGGUGAAGUCCAUUCUUUGGGAAGUAAACCUCUGCCACGUGGAUCAUGCUCAGACAUCCUAUUGAAGUUUGUCCAACAAUUUCUUGCUUUGGAAGGUGUCCCUCUUGGUGGAACACAGUUUCACCUUUUGCUGGAACUCAGAGCUACAAAUGAUGCUUAAUGUACCAACGCCUUCUGACUGAGCUCCUCUCUGCCCUGAAUACAAGAUACCCUAAUAGUUAUGUGGAAAUAUCAUCGCCCCUGUUCAGCAUGAAGAAGUUACAAAAGAUGGACCUUCAUCCUUCUGCAACCCUUAGGAUUAAGGGUCCUCUUGUAAAAGGUAGGGGAAAUACGUAAGAAGCUUUCAAACCAGAGCGACUCCAUUUUGAACAAGGGCUAAGAAAAAUGAAGCUGGGUCCUGUUGGGCUGCAUGCGCAGGAGGUUAAGCAUUCUUAGCCUCAAGAUGUUUACAAUUGAGGGAACAGAUUAAUAAUGUUUCCUAAACAGACUCAGGACUUAACAGACUCAAGAACAUCUUGAUACUUUGAGAACAAAAGCACUUCUAGUUUUAAAUACGCAUUGUACCUAGGCUGGAUGCUUUUCUUACUUUUGGAAAUGCCCUACCCUGUCUAUGAAGUCA